rnacentral:rRNA from 1 species
AACGAACGCUGGCGGCAGGCCUAACACAUGCAAGUCGAACGCAUCGCAAGAUGAGUGGCGCACGGGUGAGUAACACGUGGGAAUGUAUCCUUUGGUUCGGAAUAACGUCUGGAAACGGACGCUAAUACCGGAUGAGCCCUUAGGGGGAAAGAUUUAUCGCCGAAGGAGCAGCCCGCGUCUGAUUAGGUAGUUGGUGGGGUAAAGGCCUACCAAGCCGACGAUCAGUAGCUGGUCUGAGAGGAUGAUCAGCCACACUGGGACUGAGACACGGCCCAGACUACUACGGGAGGCAGCAGUGGGGAAUAUUGGACAAUGGGCGCAAGCCUGAUCCAGCCAUGCCGCGUGAGUGAUGAAGGCCUUCGGGUUGUAAAGCUCUUUCGCACACGACGAUGAUGACGGUAGUGUGAGAAGAAGCCCCGGCUAACUUCGUGCCAGCCGCCGCAGUAAAAC